GAUAAUUAAAGGGCAGAUUCCGGAAGCAUCCUUGUGGCGGCGCGGCUGUUUUCGCCCCAGGACCUGUGCAGCCUCAUUCAGCCUCAGGUUUAAGGGAGUGUGAUUAAUGUACCUGAAGAGUUUAAAUUCUUGUUCGUAGUGAGGAAGAUGACUUCUCAAAAGACAAAGGAAAAAGCAAAAGCCCUCUUAAAAUGCCGCAAGUCUUUUGUUUGCUGUGGUCCUGGAAAUCUGGAGGUUUGAAUGAGUCUCACUCUGUCGUCUAGGACGGAGUGCAGUGGCAUGGUCAUGGCUCACUGCAGCCUCAACCUUCCAGGCUCAAAUGAUCCUCCCACCUCAGCCUCCCAAGUAGCUGGGAAUACAGGCACAUGCCAUCACGCCUGGCUAAUGCUUCACUGGUUGUGCCAUGAUUCAGGUGCAUCGUGAGCCAGUCUACUGCAACUAGAUCCAGGAAAGCCUUGGUAGAACCGUUCAUCUACAGGUAUUACCACAGAUAGUAAUCUGAUCUCCAGCUCCUUCAUCUUUACCUCCAUUCUCAACAUGAGUAAUCAAGUCUA